rnacentral:rRNA from 1 species
ACGUAGGGGGCAAGCGUUAUCCGGAAUUACUGGGUGUAAAGGGUGCGUAGGCGGUUUAAUAAGUCAGAUGUGAAAGCCCGGAGCUCAACUCCGGGACUGCAUUUGAAACUGUUAAACUAGAAUACAGGAGAGGUAAGUGGAAUUCCUAGUGUAGCGGUGAAAUGCGUAGAUAUUAGGAGGAACACCAGUGGCGAAGGCGACUUACUGGACUGUUAUUGACGCUGAGGCACGAAAGCGUGGGGAGCAAACAGG